UUUGUAUUACGUGCGGAAAUUGUUACCAUUUUCGGCUCAAAAAUGGUAACAAUUUCCCCACGUAAUACAAU
rnacentral:miRNA from 1 species